UCGGAAGCGCGAUUUAUCGCGCGCACACUCCGCGAAGAAAGAGUCGUCCCGCUGGUGGUCGUUAAUUCUUGUCGCACGUGUCCCACCGCUUUGAUCACGCGAGUAUGCUAAUUGCACCGUCCACCGCCCACUCGCUGCCAGUGCAUGGAAAAUCGUUGACACCAAAAGUAAGAGGAAGAUGAAGGAAGAGAAGAAGGAUUAUGAUGAUGGAAGAGAGGAGAAAUAGCAGAAAGACCAAGAGAAACUUUGAGUCGAGUGAAAUGAUUUUGCCAUUCUCUAUUGGCGUGUAUAUUUUGUUGGCACAUGCGCGAGUACCGAUUCCAAAGCAUUGAGAGACACAUACUAGGAAUAUAGGUUAACUUGUCUUGUCUAAUUUUAUUGCGAUCUUCUUCGACACAAAUUAAAUGGAAGAAAAGUAAAAUAGAUACAUUGAAUUGAUGGUUUAAUAAUUUGUUGAAGUAUGAAGAUUAAUUUUUAUGAAAAUAAUUAGAUAGAAAUAAAAAAUAGAAUUUAUCUUAGAAAGAGACAUUUCCUCAUUUCCAUAUUUCCAUAGUAUAAUUAAAAGUAGAAUUUAAAUUUAAUAAAUAAAUUACAAUAAUGAUAAAAUAAAUUGUAGUAAAUAUUACAUUUUGUUAGACUCAUAUCUGGAAAUGCAAUUGUAACUACAAAAAAAAAAAAUCAUAAAUCUUCAAUUCAUAGAAAUGUGAUUUAAUUAUCUAAAAUCAGAAAUUAUUCAUUAUUCAGAGAAAAUACAACAAAUACCAUGAUUAUCAAUACUUAGUUUAAAUUAUUUUCAAAUAAUUCAAUUUUUUAAGAAAUUAAUAAAAUCAUAGAAAGAAUAUCUAAUAUUCAAAAGAAGAAUAUCUCGUCGACAAAAAUGAUUCAUUGCAGUUUCCGUGAAAAUAUAACUUAAUGGACCAAAACGAAUUUCUAUGGAGAAGAAAGUAUGCCUGUGGUUUUCCAGGCGGGUAAAAAAGACGGUGCACGCGCCGCUUGCAGAAACGUUUCGUAAAUUCGAAGAAUGGCUGGAAAGAAGUGGCCGCCGCACAAAGCGUGCCGACACAACCGGGCUCGUUUGCCCCGCGGAGGUAAUUGUCUUCUUGGCCGCACGAGAGCGCACGUAUUCCGCAAGCAAAUACACACCAAGAGGCUGGCUUACAUACAGCGUUCUCACGGGAUGGAGAAUAAACACCAUGGUCCGGUCUGUUACCGACUUUUCAACUUUUCGUUUCCUGGACACGGUUUGUUGGAACAUUCCUCACUCGUUCAGUUGUCGAUUUGUGGAUAACGAAUUGCAAUGAAUAGAAGAAACUUCUAUAUUGUUUAUAUUGAUGUGUUAUAAUUUGUGUUCUCUUUUUCAAGAGAAGAAUUCUUGUAAUUGUAAAUCAUGUUAAGAAGAUAGAAAAUGAAUGAAAUUAGAAAAAUGAAAAAAAAAAGGAAAAACAACACAAUUAUUCUUGAAUUUAAAAUA